rnacentral:rRNA from 1 species
UACGGGGGGGGCAAGCGUUGCUCGGAAUUACCGGGCGUAAAGCGCACGUAGGCGGAUUGUUAAGUCGGGGGUGAAAUCCUGGAGCUCAACUCCAGAACUGCCUUCGAAACUGGCGAUCUUGAGUCCGGGAGAGGUGAGUGGAACUGCGAGUGUAGAGGUGAAAUGCGCAGAUAUCAGGAGGAACACCGGUGGCGAAGGCGGGUCUCUGGGCAGCAACUGACGCUGAGGAGCGAAAGCGUGGGGAGCGAACAGG